rnacentral:rRNA from 1 species
AUUGAACGCUGGCGGCAGGCCUAACACAUGCAAGUCGAGCGGAUGAAGGGAGCUUGCUCCUGGAUUCAGCGGCGGACGGGUGAGUAAUGCCUAGGAAUCUGCCUGGUAGUGGGGGAUAACGUCCGGAAACGGGCGCUAAUACCGCAUACGUCCUGAGGGAGAAAGUGGGGGAUCUUCGGACCUCACGCUAUCAGAUGAGCCUAGGUCGGAUUAGCUAGUUGGUGGGGUAAAGGCCUACCAAGGCGACGAUCCGUAACUGGUCUGAGAGGAUGAUCAGUCACACUGGAACUGAGACAAGGUCCAGACUCCUACGGGAGGCAGCAGUGGGGAAUAUUGGACAAUGGGCGAAAGACUGAUCCAGCCAUGCCGCGUGUGUGAAGAAGGUCUUCGGAUUGUAAAGCACUUUAAGUUGGGAGGAAGGGCAGUAAGUUAAUACCUUGCUGUUUUGACGUUACCAACAGAAUAAGCACCGGCUAACUUCGUG